rnacentral:rRNA from 1 species
AUGAACGCUGGCGGCGUGCCUAAUACAUGCAAGUCGAGCGAACGGACGAGAAGCUUGCUUCUCUGAUGUUAGCGGCGGACGGGUGAGUAACACGUGGAUAACCUACCUAUAAGACUGGGAUAACUUCGGGAAACCGGAGCUAAUACCGGAUAAUAUUUUGAGCCGCAUGGUUCAAAAGUGAAAGACGGUCUUGCUGUCACUUAUAGAUGGAUCCGCGCUGCAUUAGCUAGUUGGUAAGGUAACGGCUUACCAAGGCAACGAUGCAUAGCCGACCUGAGAGGGUGAUCGGCCACACUGGAACUGAGACACGGUCCAGACUCCUACGGGAGGCAGCAGUAGGGAAUCUUCCGCAAUGGGCGAAAGCCUGACGGAGCAACGCCGCGUGAGUGAUGAAGGUCUUCGGAUCGUAAAACUCUGUUAUUAGGGAAGAACAUAUGUGUAAGUAACUGUGCACAUCUUGACGGUACCUAGUCAGAAAGCCACGGCUAACUACGUG